GGAGGGUGCAAGCGUUACUCGGAAUCACUGGGCGUAAAGCGCAUGCAGGCGGCCAGAUAAGUUGGAAGUGAAAGCCUACGGCUCAACCGUAGAACUGCUUCCAAAACUGUUUGGCUAGAGUCUGGGAGGGGAAGAUGGAAUUAGUAGUGUAGGGGUAAAAUCCGUAGAGAUUACUAGGAAUACCAAAAGCGAAGGCGAUCUUCUGGAACAGUACUGACGCUGAGAUGCGAAAGCGUGGGGAGCAAACAGGAUUAGAUACCCUGGUAGUCCACGCAGUAAACGAUGAAUGUUAGUCGUUGGUAUCCUAGAGAUAUCAGUGAUGCAGUUAACACAUUAAACAUUCCGCCUGGGGAGUACGGUCGCAAGAUUAAAACUCAAAGGAAUAGACGGGGACCCGCACAAGUGGUGGAGCAUGUGGUUUAAUUCGAAGAUACGCGAAGAACCUUACCUAGCCUUGACAUAUUUUAGAACUCCGCAGAGAUGCAGAGGUGCCUUCGGGAGCUAUCUUACAGGUGCUGCACGGCUGUCGUCAGCUCGUGUCGUGAGAUGUUGGGUUAAGUCCCGCAACGAGCGCAACCCUCGUCACUAGUUACUAACGGUUCGGCCGAGGACUCUAGUGAGACUGCCUUCGUAAGGAGGAGGAAGGUGAGGACGACGUCAAGUCAUCAUGGCCCUUACGGCUAGGGCAACACACGUGCUACAAUGGUUAGGACAAUGAGAAGCAAUAUCGCGAGGUGGAGCAAAUCUAUAAACCUAAUCUCAGUUCGGAUUGUAGUCUGCAACUCGACUACAUGAAGCUGGAAUCACUAGUAAUCGUAGAUCAGCUAUGCUACGGUGAAUACGUUCCCGGGUCUU
rnacentral:rRNA from 1 species